CCUACGGGAGGCAGCAGUCGAGAAUCAUUCACAAUGGGGGAAACCCUGAUGGUGCGACGCCGCGUGGGGGAAUGAAGGUCUUCGGAUUGUAAACCCCUGUCAUGUGGGAGCAAAUUAAAAAGAUAGUACCACAAGAGGAAGAGACGGCUAACUCUGUGCCAGCAGCCGCGGGAAUACAGAGGUCUCAAGCGUUGUUCGGAAUCACUGGGCGUAAAGCGUGCGUAGGCUGUUUCGUAAGUCGUGUGUGAAAGGCGCGGGCUCAACCCGCGGACGGCACAUGAUACUGCGAGACUAGAGUAAUGGAGGGGGAACCGGAAUUCUCGGUGUAGCAGUGAAAUGCGUAGAUAGCGAGAGGAACACUCGUGGCGAAGGCGGGUUCCUGGACAUUAACUGACGCUGAGGCACGAAGGCCAGGGGAGCGAAAGGGAUUAGAUACCCGAGUAGUC
rnacentral:rRNA from 1 species